rnacentral:rRNA from 1 species
AUUGAACGCUGGCGGCAUGCCUUACACAUGCAAGUCGAACGGCAGCACGGGGGCAACCCUGGUGGCGAGUGGCGAACGGGUGAGUAAUACAUCGGAACGUGUCCUGUAGUGGGGGAUAGCCCGGCGAAAGCCGGAUUAAUACCGCAUACGCUCUACGGAGGAAAGGGGGGGAUCUUAGGACCUCCCGCUACAGGGGCGGCCGAUGGCAGAUUAGCUAGUUGGUGGGGUAAAGGCCUACCAAGGCGACGAUCUGUAGCUGGUCUGAGAGGACGACCAGCCGCACUGGGACUGAGACACGGCCCAGACUCCUACGGGAGGCAGCAGUGGGGAAUUUUGGUCUAUGUGUGCAACCCUGAUCCAGCAAUGCCGCGUGUGUGAAGAAGGCCUUCGGGUUGUAAAGCACUUUUGUCCGGAAAGAAAACGCCGUGGUUAAUACCCGUGGCGGAUGACGGUACCGGAGAUAUAAGCACCGGCUAACUAC